AAGCCUGAAAAGAGGCCUAGUCUCUUAUCAAAACUGCUGGAAAAGCGCAAGGAGCAGUUAAUUGGCAGUACAGCUGUACAGGAAUGCACAAAUUGCUGUGCCUUGAAAGAAAAAAUAAAGCAGCUGGAAGAAGACAACAGAAGAGUAGUUCUUCACUUGGACACCAUAAAUGAGUUGAAGAGCAUGGUGUGUGCGCUGAAAGGGGACUUAGAAGAAAGAAGUGCCCCUUCAAAGCAUCAAAAACCAGCCAUAUUUGCACAUCCACA